CCUACGGGAGGCUGCAGUGAGGAAUAUUGGUCAAUGGGCGCGAGCCUGAACCAGCCAAGUAGCGUGAAGGAUGACUGCCCUACGGGUUGUAAACUUCUUUUCUCAGGGACGAAGCAAGUGACGGUACCUGAGGAAUAAGCCACGGCUAACUACGUGCCAGCAGCCGAGGGAAUACGUAGGUGGCAAGCUGUAGCCGGAUUUACUGGGUGUAAAGGGCGUGUAGGCGGGACUGCAAGUCAGAUGUGAAAACCACGGGCUCAACCUGUGGCCUGCAUUUGAAACUGUAGUUCUUGAGUACUGGAGAGGCAGACGGAAGUCCUAGUGUAGCGGUGAAAUGCGUAGAUAUUAGGAGGAACACCAGUGGCGAAGGCGGUCUGCUGGACAGCAACUGACGCUGAGGCGCGAAAGCGUGGGGAGCAAACAGGAUUAGAUACCCCAGUAGUC
rnacentral:rRNA from 1 species